rnacentral:rRNA from 1 species
GCGGACGGGUGAGUAACGCGUGAGAAUCUAGCUUGGGGUCGGGGACAANCACUGGAAACGGUGGCUAAUACCGGAUAANGCUUUGGGUAAAAGAUUAUUGGCCCAAGAGGAGCUCGCGUCUGAUUAGCUAGUUGGUGAGGUAAAAGCUCACCAAGGCAGCGAUCAGUAGCUGGUCUGAGAGGACGAUCAGCCACACUGGGACUGAGACACGGCCCAGACUCCUACGGGAGGCAGCAGUGGGGAAUUUUCCGCAAUGGGCGAAAGCCUGACGGAGCAAGACCGCGUGAGGGAGGAAGGCUCUUGGGUUGUAAACCUCUUUUCUCAGGGAAGAAGCUCUGACGGUACCUGAGGAAUCAGCCUCGGCUAACUCCGUGCCAGCAGCCGCGGUAAUACGGAGGAGGCAAGCGUUAUCCGGAAUUAUUGGGCGUAAAGCGUCCGCAGGUGGCGAUUCAAGUCUGCUGUCAAAGCACGGGGCUUAACUCCGUUAAGGCAGUGGAAACUGAAUAGCUAGAGUGCCGUAGGGGUAGAGGGAAUUCCCGGUGUAGCGGUGAAAUGCGUAGAGAUCGGGAAGAACAUCGGUGGCGAAAGCGCUCUACUGGACGGCAACUGACACUCAGGGACGAAAGCUAGGGGAGCGAAUGGGAUUAGAUACCCCAGUAGUCCUAGCUGUAAACGAUGGAUACUAGGUGUAGCUUGUAUCGACCCGAGCUGUGCCGAAGCUAACCGCGUUAAGUAUCCCG